rnacentral:rRNA from 1 species
CCCUUAGAUGUUCUGGGCCGCACGCGUGCUACACUGAGUGGAUCAGCGGGUCAGGUUGCGCGAAAGCGUUUCCUAAUCUUUAAAUCCGCUCGUGAUGGGGAUUGACGGUUGCAAUUUUCUGUCAUGAACGAGGAAUACCUUGUAAGCGCGGGUCAUCAUCCCGCGCUGAAUACGUCCCUGCCCUUUGUACACACCGCCCGUCGCUCCUACCGAUUGAGUGUUCCGGUGAAUAAUUCGGACUGCAGCAGCGUGGGGACUCCUCAUGCUGCAGCGGAAAGUUUGGUGAACCUUAACACUUAGAGGAAGGAGAAGUCGUAACA